rnacentral:rRNA from 1 species
GCGAAAACUUUACAAUGCUGGCAACAGCGAUAAGGGAACCUCGAGUGCCAGGUUACAAAUCUGGCUGUCGAGAUACCUAAAAAGCAUUUCAUAGCAAGGGCCGGACAAGACCGGUGCCAGCCGCCGCGGUAACACCGGCGGCUCGAGUGGUAACCGUUAUUAUUGGGUCUAAAGGGUCUGUAGCCGGCCGGAUAAGUCUCUUGAGAAAUCUGGCAGCUUAACUGUCAGGCUUUCAGGAGAUACUGUCUGGCUCGAGGCCGGGAGAGGUGAGAGGUACUUCAUGGGUAGGGGUGAAAUCUUGUAAUCCUUGAAGGACCACCAGUGGCGGAGGCGGCUCACCAUAACGGACCUGACGGCAAGGGACGAAAGCUAGGGGCACGAACC